rnacentral:sRNA from 1 species
GCCGAUGCUUUAGAUAGAUACAAGGCUCUAAUGUGGAACUGCCGAAAGGCACCCCGGGGCUUUGGACGGUAACGGCACAUUGCAAGGUGUUGUUACCGUUUACAUA